GAUGAAGAACGCAGCGAAAUGCGAUAAGUAAUGUGAAUUGCAGAAUUCAGUGAAUCAUCGAAUCUUUGAACGCAUCUUGCGCUCCUUGGUAUUCUGAGGAGCAUGCCUGUUUGAGUGUCAUUAAAUUCUCAACUACACUGACUUUGAAUUGGUGUGGCUUGGAUUUGGGGGGAAAAUUGUUGUGGGCUUUUUGUAUAGUCUGCUCCCCUGAAAUUGAUUAGCGGUACCUUUGUGGAACUGUCUACAGGUGUGAUAAUUAUCUACAUCUUAGACAUCUGCUGGAAUGCUGCUCUCUAAACCUUACUUGUAUUGACAAUCUUGACCUCAAAUCAGGUAGGACUACCCGCUGAACUUAAGCAUAUAAUAAGCGGAGA
rnacentral:misc_RNA from 1 species